UACGUAGGGUGCGAGCGUUAAUCGGAAUUACUGGGCGUAAAGCGUGCGUAGGCGGUCCUCCAAGUCCGUUGUGAAAGCCCCGGGCUCAACCUGGGAAUGGCAGUGGAAACUAGGGGACUGGAAUCUGGCAGAGGGGGGUGGAAUGCCGCGUGUAGCAGUGAAAUGCGUAGAGAUGCGGCGGAACACCGAUGGCGAAGGCAGCCCCCUGGGCUGAGAUUGACGCUCAGGCACGAAAGCGUGGGGAGCAAACAGG
rnacentral:rRNA from 1 species